ensembl:snoRNA SNORA63 Small nucleolar RNA SNORA63
AACCAGAACUCAGACGACAAUAUAGCUGUCAACUGCUGUUUUGUCAUAGUCCCUGCUCAAAAUAAACUUUUCCCUCUCCUUUCCUUUCUU